UGUAUAAUACCUUAAUUCAGGAGCACAGUCUCUCUUUACCGUAAAUAACUUCGAGAUUAAUAUGUAAGUUUACUUUGCUAAUCGAUGUUCCUGUAAUUCAGAUUUAUAUUUAUUUGUGAGACCCCCGUCACUAUUUAUAUUCACUCAAAGAAAGGGGUUCUCCGUUACUGGGAAAAUCUUAUCUGAUUCAGGAUCAAUUUAUCGGUUACACUCCCCUAUCACCAGUGAUUCUUUGUUGUAAGCUGACAUUCUGAAAAAAGGUAUACUGUUGACUAUCAAUUUGCACGAUUAGUUACAGAUGUCGACUCGGACUACUGCAAAAGACAAUAAUUCAGUUCACUGAUUUAGAUUGAAUAGUGGUUCGGUUAAUCCCCUCUUCCCCAAACAAGGCAAGGACAUUAAAGAUAAAGGGAAACUAUAAACAAAAGAAAUUAUCAACAAAAAUAGAUUUACAGACGUCAACAAAGCCUAAAUGGUCAGACAUCUUGGUUUUCAUGAUCAUCAUUCAACAAGUCAAUACUGAACAGAAAACUUAAAGUUGAUAUUUUUCUUCAU